GAAGUUGAAGGAUUCUAGUGAGCGUGUUUGGUGAAAGUCUAACCUUUCUAUUAUUGCAGGGAUAUUUAACUAGGACGCAGAUGCUGUUUGACGGCUUAAUUUUUCCGCUUUCAUUUUCGAAACUACGCAACAGUUUCCCUCACGGCCAAUAGGUGGUCUAGAAAUUUUUAAUCAGCUGUUGAACUUCAAAACAACAGUCGACGAUAAGCUUUUAGGGGGCGUUUCAGCAUCGAAGAGAAACUAGAGAAAGAUUUGCUGCAUUUCAGAAGUUUUCAGUGUUUAUAUGCACUAAAGCAAAUGUGAAAAUGGCUAGUUUUGUUAAUAUGCUGCCGAAGUAAAAUGUGCAAAUGGCUAGUUUUUUUAGCCAUUUAAAAAUAAUAUGUCACUAGUAAUUAACCUUUACGGCAAACAGGUUCCCCUUGAUGUGCAAAUGUGAAAUCGGGUGUUAGUGCAAAAUUGUGAAUGGUAUUAAGAAAUGAAACUAGAAAAUUCCCGUUAGCUCUGAGAACGCAGCUCAAGGGAACGAUUCCUAUUUCUGGCCGGAUAAAAGUCCAUUACAAUGAACAAUAACAAUGAUAAUCUACAGUUAAGAUUCUUCUCAACUGACAAGAUUGAGUGCCUCCAGUUGCAAGAUAAAUAUGUGGGAGGAUUCGGCAACGGCUGAUGCCUGCCAUAUUAUCGAACACCAGUAUUUACUUUACUACCGUGGUUGAAUAAGAUUUACUUUUACAUUAUGUAGUACGUGCAGAAAGACAUGCAGGUAUUCCACUUGGUUAUACUACUUAUACAACAACAGGAGAAAUAUACACAAAUCGUUUGUACAAAUAUAUAUAAUAUAUGUAAUAGAAUAAUAUGCUUUUCUUUUCUUUUUCAA